GAUGAACGCUGACAGAAUGCUUAACACAUGCAAGUCAACUUGAAUUUGGGUUUUUAACUUAGAUUUGGGUGGCGGACGGGUGAGUAACGCGUAAAGAACUUGCCUCACAGCUAGGGACAACAUUUAGAAAUGAAUGCUAAUACCUGAUAUUAUGAUUUUAAGGCAUCUUAGAAUUAUGAAAGCUAUAAGCACUGUGAGAGAGCUUUGCGUCCCAUUAGCUAGUUGGAGAGGUAACAGCUCACCAAGGCGAUGAUGGGUAGCCGGCCUGAGAGGGUGAACGGCCACAAGGGGACUGAGACACGGCCCUUACUCCUACGGGAGGCAGCAGUGGGGAAUAUUGGACAAUGGACCGAGAGUCUGAUCCAGCAAUUCUGUGUGCACGAUGAAGUUUUUCGGAAUGUAAAGUGCUUUCAGUUGGGAAGAAAGAAAUGACGGUACCAACAGAAGAAGUGACGGCUAAAUACGUGCCAGCAGCCGCGGUAAUACGUAUGUCACGAGCGUUAUCCGGAUUUAUUGGGCGUAAAGCGCGUCUAGGUGGUUAUGUAAGUCUGAUGUGAAAAUGCAGGGCUCAACUUUGUAUUGCGUUGGAAACUGUAUAACUAGAGUACUGGAGAGGUAAGCGGAACUACAAGUGUAGAGGUGAAAUUCGUAGAUAUUUGUAGGAAUGCCGAUGGGGAAGCCAGCUUACUGGACAGAUACUGGCGCUAAAGCGCGAAAGCGUGGGUAGCAAACAGG
rnacentral:rRNA from 1 species